rnacentral:rRNA from 1 species
AGCGAACGCUGGCGGCAGGCUUAACACAUGCAAGUCGAGCGCCUGUAGCAAUACAGGAGCGGCAGACGGGAGAGUAACACGUGGGAACGUACCCUUUGGUUCGGAACAACCCAGGGAAACUUGGACUAAUACCGGAUAAGCCCUAACGGGGAAAGAUUUAUCGCCAAAGGAUCGGCCCGCGUCUGAUUAGCUAGUUGGUGAGGUAACGGCUCACCAAGGCGACGAUCAGUAGCUGGUCNGAGAGGAUGAUCA